UUUUUAUGGAACACGUGAACCGCUGAAGCUCUCUGUUUUCGCGGCUGCUUCCACUUCCGACCAGAGAUCCUGCCGGCGAUAACGCCGUCGUAGGUAGGGGAUCCGAAAACCGGCUUGUCGGGAUUCUCCGAUGACGCGAUCGCUGACCUCUUCGCUGGAGGAGGGAGAGUGUCAACCAAGCAGGAUCCAGAGGAGUCUCUAAAAAUACCACCCCCUCCAGGAUAACCAGGAGACCCAGGAUUUGAGUGUAUGAUGGAAUCUUAGUGUAAUUAUCCAUUCUUAAUAACAAGUCUCUACAGCCCAAACAACCAUGCAUUUUGUGUUUUUUUUUCACAAUAAACAGGUGUGUUGUUCAUUAUAUGCAAUUAAAAAGUCAGCCAAUGUAGGAGACUAUCACCAAAUGGGGUCUGGAAAUGGCAAAUGUACUUAACCUUACCCCGGGUAUUUCCAAGGUUUGACCCUUUGACCCUAUCGUCACUACAUAGGCACACAACUAAAUCACACAAAUUUGCAUGGCGAAUUCGAUAAGCAAAUCUGCAUAGUGAAUUCGAUAAGCAAAUCUGCAUAGUGAAUUUGAUAAGCAAAUCUGCAUACCGAAUUCGAUAAGCAAAUAUGCAAAUCCAUAACAUAUUUGUCUUUGCAACCCUGUAAGGUUUCAGUAUUGCUGACCAAAAAAUUUCAUCCAAGCGCGAAUUUUCUUCAUCCAGCUAGAGAUUAAUCAGACCAAUGCAACUAACAAAACUAAAAUUGAGUACCAAAAGAAAUAACAUCAAUUCCAAACACAACUAUAGAAUCUCAAAAUUACAAAAUUCUAAAAUUCUCUUCAACUAUAUCAUUCAUAAAUCAAAACUUCAAUUCAUAAAACAACAAAAAACCAAUAAACAAAAACAAAAAACAUCAUUACUUCUUCAGAAAAUCAUCAGGAACAACCUUAAGCUGCUUCCUCUGUUUAGACUUAGCAAUCUUCUUCAAAGUAUUAGGAUUAGUAAUCUUCUGAAACCUAGUUCCAGAUUUCAAAACAUUUUCUUGCUUCUUCUUCUCCCUCUCUUCUCUCUUCUUCCUCUUCUCAACCUUGUUCAAUCGAAUCUCCUCUUUCAACUCCGUAAUUCUCUCCUUAUACGCUUUCUUUAUCUGCUUCUCCCUAUCUCUCUCUUCAAACGUCGUCUUUUUAUGGAACACGUGAACCGCUGAAGCUCUCUGUUUUCGCGGCUGCUUCCACUUCCGACCAGAGAUCCUGCCGGCGAUAACGCCGUCGUAGGUAGGGGAUCCGAAAACCGGCUUGUCGGGAUUCUCCGAUGACGCGAUCGCUGACCUCUUCGCUGGAGGAGGGAGAGUGUCGUCGGUUUCCAUUGAAACGGUUUCAUCGUUGUUGGCGGCGGC
rnacentral:lncRNA from 1 species